rnacentral:lncRNA from 1 species
UAUCACCGAUUGCUAAGCGUCGCCUUGUGAUUGGACUUUUGUGAUAUAGAAUCAUGCCUUCGCUAGCCUUGUGAUAUCGACUCUUACGUGGCUUUAUUGGUGGCAUUCUAUAAAAUACGGAGUAACAUUUUUUUUUUUUGACGGCAUACGGAGUAACAUAUAUAGAGUUUUUUCCAAAAUUUUUUAUAUCAUCGCUAUUUGUAGAUUUUAGAGUUUUCUUUUUGGGCAGUGAGUGUAUAGUUCCCAUUCACAAUAGUUUUACGUAAAAGUGGUUGGAAGUAAAAAUAAUAUUUUAUAAUUUAUGCUCAACCGCACUUGAUAAGAUUUUAUUGAACCGCACUUAUAACUAUAACACACCAAUUAUGGUGUGGGUUUAAUUAUUAUAGUGCAGUACAACAUAAAAAUAUAUUUUUUUUUUUUCUAAAAACUAAAAAACAGUAAAUAUCAUUUGUAUUUAUUAACACAGUUUUAUUUGAGGCAAAAUAUAUGCCUAAAUUAUAAUUUUAUUUUAUUUUAUUAUUUAAAAAUAUAUUUUAUACCGCAGUUAACUUUGUUACCAUUCAAAUUUUAUUAGAAACCGUUCUUUUUAUUUUAACCGCUUAUGUUUCACAGUAUGCGUUUUUUAUAUAACCGCACUUAAUAAUGUACCACAUCAUAUUAUCCGUUUUA